AUGGCCACAGCAACACGAUCUGCCCCGGGUGCAGCCAGCUGCCUUCUAAUCGUCCUAGCAACCACCACCCUGUCCAUGGCCACCUCCUCUUCCUAUGCCGGAGAAACAUCCAGCAGGAGCUGCAUCGCGGCUGAGAGGGCGGCGCUGCUCUCCUUCAAAACCGGCAUGACAAGUGACCCUGCAAAACGACUGGACUCCUGGAGAGGCCAUGACUGCUGCCAGUGGAGCGGGGUCACUUGCAACAACCGGACAGGCCACAUCGUCGAGCUCAGCCUCCGCAAUGCCUUCAUCAAAGAUGAUACGAAUUUUGUUUGGUGCAUGCCUCAUGGGGAAUCCGGCGGAUUGGAGGGGAAGAUAAGUUCUUCUUUGCUUGCUUUACAACACUUGAAGCAUCUUGAUCUAAGUGGAAACAACCUCGGGGGGGUAGGUGUGACCAUACCAAAAUUCUUAGGCUCCAUCAAGAGCUUGACAUAUCUGAACCUUGCUUGCAUGAAUUUCGAUGGGGGAGUGCCACCUCAACUUGGUAACCUCUCUAGGUUGCUCCACCUUAACCUUGAGGCCACUGUUUUCUCUCAUACUCUUUUGCAUUCUGAUGACAUAUCAUGGUUAUCUCGCCUUGGUUUACUAAGAUCCCUUGACAUGAGUGGAGUGAACCUCAGCACUAUUCCUGAUUGGGUUAGGGUGGUCACCAUUGUUCCUUCUCUGGAAGUCCUUCAACUCAGUCAAUGUGGACUCAGUUUACAACAUGAACCCAGACUGCAUUCAAAUCUGAGUUCACUUCAGGUGCUUGAUCUAUAUGGCAACAGAAUUGACACGUUGAAUCCAACCUACUGGUUCUGGGAUGUCCUCAUCAUCAAGGAACUUGACCUUUCAAGUAACAAAAUAGUUGGCCAACUUCCAGAUGCAAUCGGAAACAUGACAUCUCUUCAGACACUGAGGCUAGGUGACAAUUACCUCUCAGGUGUAAAAUCUGAACUGUUCGGAAACUUGUGCAACCUCAGCUGGCUAGAGCUGUGGUCAAAUGAGAUCGACCAGGAUAUGUCAGAUUUUAUGGAGGGGUUUCCGGUGUGUACAAAGAGUAAAUUGCGGUCCCUAGAUCUGUCUGCUACCAACCUUACUGGCAGGAUUCCAAGCAGUAUUAAGCAGUGGAAAAAUUUAAGUGAUCUUCAACUCUCUGAGAGUAGGCUUGUGGGAUCAAUACCUUUGGGAAUUGGCAAGAUGACUAAUCUACGGUCAUUGAUUCUAAACAACAACCAGUUGAAUGGUUCUGUAUCAGAGGAACAUUUUGCAAAUCUAGUGAACUUGAUGGAACUGAGUUUAUCUCACAACCCUGUACACAUCACUAUCAGCUCAAACUGGAUCCCCGCAUUUAACCUGGAAGUGGCUGAUUUUGCAAAUACCAAAAUGGGACCUCACUUUCCAUUGUGGCUUGAAGGACAGAAGGAUAUUUUCGAACUUGACAUUUCAGAUACAGGCAUAGUUGAUCUUGUCCCUGAUUGGUUUUGGACUGUACUCUCCAAUGUCAGCUAUGUAAAUAUCUCUUGUAAUCAAAUAAGUGGUCGGCUGCCAGCAACACUGGAAUUUAUGACUUCUGCAGAAAUGCUUGACCUCAACUCAAAUGACUUCACAGGUUUGCUGCCACUGCUACCAGAAUCGUUAUUGUUCUUAGAUAUCUCCAGGAAUUCUUUAUCGGGACCACUUCCCCAGGACUUUGGAGCUCCAAUGCUUAGAGAGCUUGUAUUGUUCGCAAACCAUAUCAAUGGAACAAUUCCAAUAUAUAUAUGUCAACUGCAGUAUAUGAGAGUGUUGGAUCUUUCAGAAAACCUUCUAGUAGGACAACUUCCCCAAUGUUCAAAAGGCAGAGAUGAUAAGGAAGAACUGAACACAACAGUAGAUCCCGGAAACAGGCAAUUGUCGGCUCUGAUCUUGCACAGCAACAGCCUGUCUGGCGAAUUCCCUGAAUUCUUGCAAUACAGUCCCCUUUUGACACUACUUGAUCUUUCCCACAACAAGUUCGAAGGAGAGCUACCAACGUGGACAUCAGGGAAAUUGCCAUAUUUGUCUUUUUUGUUGUUACGGCAUAAUAUGUUCUCUGGUUCUAUUCCACUUGAGCUAACAGAGCAAGUACAUCUCCAAUUCUUGGACAUUGCAAAUAAUAGAAUAUCAGGAGCUAUACCUCGUGGUUUGGCCAACUUAAAAGCAAUGGCUCAAUAUAGCAAAAUAAGAUCUGAUAACCCCUUGGAGAGCAAGUUCGGAGGUACAGGAGUAGACAACCACAUUGCAGCAAUAAAAUAUGAUGACAGCCAACAAAUAGUAAUGAAAGGUCAACAACUUUAUUACACCAGUGCAAUUGUAUAUAUGGUUGGCCUUGAUUUCUCCUGCAAUAAUCUACUUGGAGAGAUUCCAGAAGAAAUAGCAUCCCUUUUUGGGCUGAAGCUUCUGAAUGUUUCCCAUAAUCAGUUCACUGGAAAGAUUCCAGACAAGAUUGGCCUGCUGCGAGGAUUGGAAUCUCUUGAUCUCUCAUUCAACGAGCUUUAUGGUGAAAUUCCGUGGAGUCUGACAGAUAUAACAACACUGAGCCACUUAAAUCUGUCCUAUAACAAUCUUUCUGGAAGAAUACCCUCGGGAAGUCAGCUACAGACACUUUCUGAUUCAGAAUCCAUGUACAUCGGCAACAACUAUCUAUGUGGGCCUCCUCUAUCCAUGAGCUGCUCACGACCCGAGGUGACUGAAGAUCACCAUGAAGGUAACAAUACAAAUAACAGAGAUUUGUAUCUCGGGCUGGCUGCAGGGUUUGUCGCGGGACUUUGGAUGGUCUUUGUCAUCUUCUUAUUCGUGAAGACCUGGAGGGUUGCCUACUUCCAACUGUUAGAUAAUCUCUACAAGGCAAGAUGCAAUUGUCUGUGGCCAAAAUAUCCACAAACUGCUGGUGCUUCACUGAAGACUGGACCCUAA
rnacentral:rRNA from 1 species